rnacentral:rRNA from 1 species
UACGAAGGGGGCUAGCGUUGCUCGGAAUCACUGGGCGUAAAGGGUGCGUAGGCGGGUCUUUAAGUCAGGGGUGAAAUCCUGGAGCUCAACUCCAGAACUGCCUUUGAUACUGAGGAUCUUGAGUUCGGGAGAGGUGAGUGGAACUGCGAGUGUAGAGGUGAAAAUUCGUAGAUAUUUCGGAAGAAACACCAGUGGCGAAGGCGGCUCACUGGACCGUUGUUGACGCUGAGGUGCGAAAAGCGUGGGGAGCAAACAGG